AGUCGAACGAGUUCUCGUUGAUGAUCGGUGCUUGCACCGAGAUUCAACAUGGAACGAGUGGCGGACGGGUGAGUAACACGUGGGUAACCUGCCCUUAAGUGGGGGAUAACAUUUGGAAACAGAUGCUAAUACCGCAUAGAUCCAAGAACCGCAUGGUUCUUGGCUGAAAGAUGGCGUAAGCUAUCGCUUUUGGAUGGACCCGCGGCGUAUUAGCUAGUUGGUGAGGUAAUGGCUCACCAAGGCGAUGAUACGUAGCCGAACUGAGAGGUUGAUCGGCCACAUUGGGACUGAGACACGGCCCAAACUCCUACGGGAGGCAGCAGUAGGGAAUCUUCCACAAUGGACGCAAGUCUGAUGGAGCAACGCCGCGUGAGUGAAGAAGGCUUUCGGGUCGUAAAACUCUGUUGUUGGAGAAGAAUGGUCGGCAGAGUAACUGUUGUCGGCGUGACGGUAUCCAACCAGAAAGCCACGGCUAACUACGUGCCAGCAGCCGCGGUAAUACGUAGGUGGCAAGCGUUAUCCGGAUUUAUUGGGCGUAAAGCGAGCGCAGGCGGUUUUUUAAGUCUGAUGUGAAAGCCCUCGGCUUAACCGAGGAAGCGCAUCGGAAACUGGGAAACUUGAGUGCAGAAGAGGACAGUGGAACUCCAUGUGUAGCGGUGAAAUGCGUAGAUAUAUGGAAGAACACCAGUGGCGAAGGCGGCUGUCUGGUCUGUAACUGACGCUGAGGCUCGA
rnacentral:rRNA from 1 species